rnacentral:rRNA from 1 species
UACAUGGGGUGCAAACGUUGCUCGGAAUUAUUGGGCGUAAAGCGCGCGUAGGCGGUUAUCUAAGUCGGAUGUGAAAGCCCUGGGCUCAACCUGGGAACUGCAGUGGAUACUGAGAAGCUAGAGUGUGUCAGAGGAUGGUGGAAUUCCCGGUGUAGCGGUGAAAUGCGUAGAGAUCGGGAGGAACAUCAGUGGCGAAGGCGGCCAUCUGGGACAACACUGACGCUGAGGCACGAAAGCGUGGGGAGGCGAACAGG